rnacentral:rRNA from 1 species
CUACGGGACGCACCAGUAAGGAAUAUUCCGCAGUGGACGAAAGUCUGACGGAGCGACACCGCGUGAAGGAUGAAGGCCUAUGGGUUGUAAACUUCUUUUCUGCCGGAAGAAGAUCUGACGGUACGGCAGGAAUAAGCCCCGGCUAAUUACGUGCCAGCAGCCGCGGUAAUACGUAAGGGGCAAGCGUUAACCGGAAUUAUUGGGCGUAAAGCGUCCGCAGGCGGAGGUAUAAGUCAGUUAUUAAAUACCGGAGCUCAACUUCGGUGCUGUAAUUGAAACUAUAUUUCUAGAGGAUAGGAGAGGUGUGUGGAAUUCUGCAAGUAGGGGUAAAAUCCGUAGAUAUGCAGAGGAAUACCAAAGGCGAAGGCAACACACUGGACUAUUCCUGACGCUCAGGGACGAAAGCGUAGGUAGCAAAACGGAUUAGAUACCCGUGUAGUC